GCGAGAGUGGCGGAAUGGCAGACGCGCCAGACUUAGGAUCUGGUGGGUAACUCCGUGGGGGUUCAACUCCCCCCUCUCGCA
rnacentral:tRNA from 2 species